GCGAACGCUGGCGGCAGGCUUAACACAUGCAAGUCGAGCGGCCGUAGCAAUACGGCAGCGGCAGACGGGAGAGUAACACGUGGGAACGUGCCCAUCAGUUCGGAACAACCCAGGGAAACUUGGGCUAAUACCGGAUACGCCCUUACGGGGAAAGAUUUAUCGCUGAUGGGGCGGCCCGCGUCUGAUUAGCUUGUUGGUGAGGUAACGGCUCACCAAGGCGACGAUCUGUAGCUGGUCUGAGAGGAUGAUCAGCCUCACUGGGACUGAGACACGGCCCAGACUCCUACGGGAGGCAGCAGUGGGGAAUAUUGGACAAUGGGCGCAAGCCUGAUCCAGCCAUGCCGCGUGGAUGAUGAAGGCCUUAGGGUUGUAAAGUCCUUUCGGCGGGGAAGAUAAUGACGGUACCCGCAGAAGAAGCCCCGGCUAACUUCGU
rnacentral:rRNA from 1 species